rnacentral:rRNA from 1 species
GUGAGGAAUAUUGGUCAAUGGACGAGAGUCUGAACCAGCCAAGUCGCGUGAAGGAAGACGGUUCUAUGAAUUGUAAACUUCUUUUGUGCAGGAAUAAAGUGGGUUACGUGUAACCUUUUGUAUGUACUGUACGAAUAAGGAUCGGCUAACUCCGUGCCAGCAGCCGCGGUAAUACGGAGGAUCCGAGCGUUAUCCGGAUUUAUUGGGUUUAAAGGGUGCGUAGGUGGAUUGAUAAGUCAGCGGUGAAAGUUUGCAGCUUAACUGUAAAAUUGCCGUUGAAACUGUCGGUCUUGAGUGCAAAUGAGGUAGGCGGAAUGUGUUGUGUAGCGGUGAAAUGCUUAGAUAUAACACAGAACUCCGAUUGCGAAGGCAGCUUACUGGGAUGCAACUGACACUGAUGCACGAAAGCGUGGGUAUCAAACAGGAUGAGAAACCCGUGUAGUCC